GAGACAGCAGCCGCCACGGGAAUACGUAGGGUGCAAGCGUUAAUCGGAAUUACUGGGCGUAAAGCGUGCGCAGGCGGUUGUGUAAGACAGGUGUGAAAUCCCCGGGCUUAACCUGGGAACUGCGCUUGUGACUGCACAGCUAGAGUAUGGCAGAGGGGGGUGGAAUUCCACGCGUAGCGGUGAAAUGCGUAGAGAUGCGGAGGAACACCGAUGGCGAAGGCAGCCCCCUGGGCCAAUACUGACGCUCAUGCACGAAAGCGUGGGGAGCAAACAGGAUUAGAUACCCGGGUAGUCCCUGUCUCUUAUAC
rnacentral:rRNA from 1 species